GGAAACGCAGCUGGAAAUGCCCGGCCCUUUGUGUGCGGCUCCAGAGAGCGGCUACACCGUGCGCCUUUUCUGAGCCUGCAAGACAGCGAGGCGGCAGCCGGAGACAAGGGCUGCAGGAUCGCUAAUCAGCGGCUCUCUUAGCCCAGCAAUGGCAUCGGUUUGCAGACCGAUGUGUCUGUUCGUCUCCCUGUGGUCGCAUCAGCUGGGUAGCCGCCCGCGAAGUCAAUGAUCCGGAAGGUGGAUCGGGCUCGCUCCAAGGUCCUCACACCCCGUCUGUCUCCUCGGCUCCACGCAGAGGCUGCCGGGGGCAGCUAAACACUGUUUCUGGAGCAUUAUAACAAUUACUGUGGGAUAAGUAAAUACAGAAGAAAAAAUUACCUGUUUUUUCUUGGUUUCCGUUUUUCUUCUUGGAUUGAUUUCUAAGAAAACAUCAAGCAAUUUUUAAAAAUUUGCAUCACUUUUUUUAAACACAGGAGCAUUUUUACGCAAAGGUCCAAUACAUGGGCAUGUGAAAUACGAGACUUUCAGAUAAUUCUUAUGAAGAAAACUACAUACUUUUUUUUUGCUUGACAAAUUAUGUGCUGUAGCAGUUUUUAAUAAUCUUUGUGCUUGUUUAUCUGUAUAAGAGAUUGCAGCUAGUACUGGUAACUAUACUGUGCACAAAUAAAAGAAACUGUAAUCAGAAGAAGGAGGGGAAAAUCAAACUUCCAAAUCCUAUAUCUGCUUUAAUAAAAUUGACGAACGCUG